AUUGAACGCUGGCGGCAGGCCUAACACAUGCAAGUCGAGCGGAUGAAGGGAGCUUGCUCCUGGAUUCAGCGGCGGACGGGUGAGUAAUGCCUAGGAAUCUGCCUGGUAGUGGGGGAUAACGUCCGGAAACGGGCGCUAAUACCGCAUACGUCCUGAGGGAGAAAGUGGGGGAUCUUCGGACCUCACGCUAUCAGAUGAGCCUAGGUCGGAUUAGCUAGUUGGUGGGGUAACGGCCUACCAAGGCGACGAUCCGUAACUGGUCUGAGAGGAUGAUCAGUCACACUGGAACUGAGACACGGUCCAGACUCCUACGGGAGGCAGCAGUGGGGACUAUUGGACAAUGGGCGAAAGCCUGAUCCAGCCAUGCCGCGUGUGUGAAGAAGGUCUUCGGAUUGUAAAGCACUUUACGUUGGGAGGAAGGGCAGUAAGUUAAUACCUUGCUGUUUUGACGUUACCAACAGAAUAAGCACCGGCUAACUUCGU
rnacentral:rRNA from 1 species